GGGAUAACAAAUUUUUGAGCUAAGAUACAUAGUUGUUAAGACAAAGAAAAGAAAAGAAAAGAGUGUUCAUUGGGUAAGAGAUGAAAAUGGGUGUAUAUUUGGGAUUUGAGAUGAAGAAAAGAAAGGGUAGAACUUAAAAAUUGUCUAGGAAAAGGGUACAAUGAUGAGAACCGAUUUAUGUAUGCAUUAAUUGCUCCUUUUCUUAGAUAAAUUUUGCAUAAUGAUCAAGCUCCUAUUCUUGAGUGUAAGUCACCAUAGCAAAAUGUAUUUGGACCCUUCUCAUUCUUCACAUUAAGCCAUUUUUUCUCACCAAACCAAAUGAUUUGGACCAAUUGGCAAUUUGCGAGAAUUCACUUAUGAUAUUUCUUAUUGAAUGUGAGAGUUGGUUGAUUUGAGGAUUCAUGAUAAUGAGUUAAAAGAUCAAAGGAAUUGAUAGGCCUAGAGAAGUUAGAGCUAAUAAAAACAUCUUGCUCUUGCUAUUUGGUAUGAUUUUGUAAGGAUAUCACAACGAUGGCAUUGAAGAGUUUCUUAAGGUCAUGAAUUUCCAUUUGUGUAUUGAAACAUCACUUCCCAUGUUCUUGAAAGUUUACUUGAGGACAAGUAAAGGACUAGUGUGGGGGAGUUGAUGUGUUGUGAUUUUGCAUAGUUUUAGCUUUGUUAUUUCAUAUAUAUUCAUGCAUUAACCUUACAUUUAUUUGCAUUUAGAGUCUAUUGCAUGUACAUUUGCAUCUUGUAGGUGUUGGAUGAAUUGUUUGGAGUUUUGGAGGUGAUUAGAGCACAAAAGGAGCUUUCGAGGAGUCUUGAACCGAACGUGUGAAAGACAAGCAUUGAUGAAGGUCUUAAAGAUAUCUUUUGAAACUUGUUUUUUGGGAAGACAUGGUAAAUUGAGUUAGCUUUACAAUGGAGGUGGUUUCAAGUCGUUUGGAGCUGUAUUGAGGGAUUUAUGAUCAAAAUACUACACACAUAUCAGUGUGUGCAACAUGGAGAAAGUGGAGAAAACUUUAAUGAGUGAGUUUUAUCUCUUUAAAGCUUGCAACAUGGGGGAUGGGUUGUCUAUCAUGAGUUUGGUGGCUCUUUUGGCCUAACUUUCUCUACCUUUUCUGAAGAGGCAAGACUACUUUGGCCAUAUGAAGGGGCAAAAGGUGUUCUAUAAUGGAAGAAAGUGGAGAAUAACUUUUAUGAGUGUGUUUUAUGCUUUAUGCUUUCACAUGAUGGAUGUGUUGUCAUCCUCCUUUACUUAGGCUAUAAAAGAGACUGCAAGGGGAAGGAGGAAGACACACAAUACACAGAGUACAAUACAACAAAGAGUAGAGAGUGAAAGUUUUAUAGUUUCAUAUUUUGUAUUUUGAGAGUUUGAGAGAAAACAUUUGUUCUUGAGCUGUUCUUCAUUGUUCAUCAUCUAUUCUUGAGUUUUAAUUUC